GAUGAACGCUGGCGGCGUGCCUAACACAUGCAAGUCGAGCGAUUUACUUCGGUAAAGAGCGGCGGACGGGUGAGUAACGCGUGGGUAACCUGCCCUGUACACACGGAUAACAUACCGAAAGGUAUGCUAAUACGAGAUAAUAUGCUUUUAUCGCAUGGUAGAAGUAUCAAAGCUCCGGCGGUACAGGAUGGACCCGCGUCUGAUUAGCUAGUUGGUAAGGUAACGGCUUACCAAGGCGACGAUCAGUAGCCGACCUGAGAGGGUGAUCGGCCACAUUGGAACUGAGACACGGUCCAAACUCCUACGGGAGGCAGCAGUGGGGAAUAUUGCACAAUGGGCGAAAGCCUGAUGCAGCAACGCCGCGUGAGCGAUGAAGGCCUUCGGGUCGUAAAGCUCUGUCCUCAAGGAAGAUAAUGACGGUACUUGAG
rnacentral:rRNA from 1 species